AAACUGCAUGUUUGCUUAUAACACUAAUGUGUUAUUGUGCCUCCAAGUUUUGAGGUACUGUCAAAUUUCUGAACAGUUCUUCUCUACUUUGCAGAAAAUGGUUAUGUCCUUGUCAUGUGAUAGGACUGUAUGGGAUGUUGUAAUGAAUAACGAGGCAGUGCAAGAAUUUAGGAGAUCUUUCCACGAUGGUAUGUUUACACUGAAAUGUUUAUGAUGAGCAGCUCUGUUUGGCAUAAAACAGUAUCACAUAUAUCUGCUUACGGCGACAUGCACCCGCGGCGGUUUAAACGAGGCCAUCAAGGCAGAAAUCUAUGAUCCCUGGAGGGGCGAUGCACAGAGUAGGGCAAUCCAUCGACGACCGACCAUCGUGGUAUUGAGUAUGAUGCUCCGUUCCAUUCUACGCCCAGGUAUUCGGAUUCCAUCUUUUUAUUUGCUUUCAUGCACAAAGGCUACUUGAUCUUGAUAAGCUUCAGAAGAUUGCUGUAAAAACUGUACGAGUAUGUGAACGUGAGAAAUCAAGCUCUCCCAUAUGAACAUUCCUUGUACCAUUGGAUAUGACCCAGCAAGCAAUAUGAUUACCAUGCGAAUGAAGCGAAAGACAACAUUCUUGACAUUUGUGUUCAUCAAUAUCUCAAACGCAUAAGUAUGUCUUAGUUUGUAACAGAUAAUUAUCAUUGAUCUCUUUAUAUACAUUGUUGAUUACAUUGCAAAUGGACUGAAAUUCAAUUUUUAUAUACAUGUCUAAUUUUGGCAUC